UACGGAGGGUGCAAGCGUUAUCCGGAUUCACUGGGUUUAAAGGGUGCGUAGGUGGGUUGGUAAGUCAGUGGUGAAAUCUCCGGGCUUAACUCGGAAACUGCCGUUGAUACUAUCUGUCUUGAAUAUAGAGGAGGUGAGCGGAAUAUGUCAUGUAGCGGUGAAAUGUGUUGAUAUCGGAAGGAACGCCGGUGGCGAAAGCGACACACUGGGCCUUGUCUGACGCUGAGGCACGAAAGCGUGGGGAGCGAACAGG
rnacentral:rRNA from 1 species